AAUGUGAGAAACUGGUUGUGUUGUUUACGUCUUAUUCGGACAGGACUAGUUUUACAUGGAGAGGUGCAAUGAACCUAAAGGUGACCGAGCUUUUGCAGUUGCGGCUCCUAAACAGUGGAAUGCACUUCCAGUUGCCGUGAGAUCCUCACCCACGUUGGACACUUUUAAAUCUAGAUUGAAAACUCAUUUAUUCUCUUUAGCCUAUGGUGUUGCCUGAGAAUAUUGGGUUAUAUAGUUGUUUAUGGUCUGUCUUGCAUGCUUUUAUUUGUAUCUUACGAGUUUUUUAUUUGUUGUUGCUUUUGAUAUUAUGUUUAUAAAUUGUACAGCACUUUGGUACAACACUUGUUUUAAAAGUGCUUUAUAAAUAAAUGUGAACUUGAACUUGA